rnacentral:rRNA from 1 species
CCUGGUUGAUCCUACCAAUAGUCAUUUGCUUGUCUUAAAGAUUAAGCCAUCCAUGUGUAAGUAUGAACUAAUUCAUACUAUGAAACUGUGAAGGGCUCAUUAAAUCAAUUAUAGUUUUGUUUGAUGGUAUCUACUACAUAGAUAACCGUAGUAAUUCUAGAGCUAAUACAUGCAAUAAACAUUGACUUCUAAAAAGGAUGCAUUCAUUAGAUAAAAGGUCGACACGAGCUUUACCUGUUGCUUUGAUGAUUCAUGAUAACUUGACAAAUUACACUAGCUUUGUGCUGGCAAUGCUUCAUUCAAAUUUUUAUCCUAUCAAUUUUUUAUGGUAGGAUAGUGGCCUACUAUGGUGGAGAAUUAGGUUUUGAUUCUGGAUAGGGGGCUUAAAAAAAUGGCUACCAUAUCCAAGGAAGGUCACAGGCGUGCAAAUUACCUAAUCUUGACAUGGAGAGGUAGUGACAAUAAAUAACAAUACUAGGCUUUAUGAGUCUGGUAAUUGGAAUGAGUAUAAUCUAAAUCCCUUAAUAAGGAUCAAUUGGAGGACAAGUCUGGUGCUAGCAGUUACUAUAAUUCCAGCUCCAAUAGCAUAUAUUUAAGUUGUUGCAAUUAAAAAGCUUGUAGUUAGAACUAGGGUUAGGUUGUCCGAUCUGUCUUAUGAUGAACAUCGGUCUAUUCAUCCUUACUACUGAUGAUGCACUCCUAGCUUUAACUAACCGAGUCAUUCCUCUGGCAUUGUUACUUUAAAAAAAUUAGAGUGCUCAAAGUAAGCCUAUGCUUGUAUACAUUAACAUGGGAUAACAUCAUAAGAUUUCAAUCUUAUUGUGUUGGCCUUCAAGAUCAAAGUAAUGAUUAAUAAUGACAGUUGAAGGCAUUUGUAUUUCAUAGUUAGAGGUAAAAUUCUUGGAUUUAUGACAGAUGAAUAACUAUGAAAGCAUUUGCCAAGGAUGUUUUCAUUAAUCAUGAAUGAAAGUUUGGGGCUCGAAGAUAAUCAAAUACCAUCCUAGUCUUAACCAUAAACAAUGCUGAACAAGGAUCAUUAAAUGUUACUUUUAGGACUACAUUGGCACCUUAUGAGAAAUCAAAGUCUUGAGGUUCUCGAGGGAGUAUGGUCACAAGGCUGAAACAUCAAGGAAUUGAUGGAAGGGCACCACCAAGAGUGGAGCCUGUGGCUUAAUUUGACUUAACAUGAGAAAACUUACCAAGUCUAGACAUAGUAAGGAUUGAUAGACUAAGAGCUCUUUCUUGAUUCUAUGGGUAGUGGUGCAUGGCCAUUCUUUAGUUGGUGGAGUGAUUUGUCUAGUUAAUUCCAUUAAUAAAUGAGACCUCAGCCUACUAACUAGCUACAUGGAGGUAUCCUUCGUGGCUAGCUUUUUAUAAAGACUAUGGCCACUUAGGCCUAUGAAGUUUGAGGCAAUAACAUGUUUGUGAUGCCUUUAGAUGUUAUAGGCCAUAUGCACGCUACACUGAUGUAUUCAACAAGUCUAUAGCCUUGGUCGAUAAGCUUGAGUAAUCUUUGAAAUUUCAUAAUGAUGGGGAUAGAUUAUUUUAAUUGUUGGUCUUCAACGAGGAAUUCCUAAUAAGCACUUGUCAUUAGCUAGAGUUGACUAUGUCCUUACCCUCUGUACACACUGCCUAUCACUCCUACCAAAUGAAUGGUCUAGUGAAGUUUUUAGAUUGUAAUGACAUGGAUGGUUCAUUGCUUGCGACAUCGUAAGAAAUCCACUGAACCUUGUUGAAGAAAUUCAUGAGAAUUUUA